GACCACACCGGUGGCCUAGUGGCUAGAGCAUCCGCCUCGGAUGCGGACGGUCGUGGGUUAGAUCCCUGGCCGAGUCC